rnacentral:pre_miRNA from 1 species
CAUUUCAGAGGCGCGUAUGGACUUACGACCUGAAGAUUAUUUCUUCCUGAUGAAGCUAAAGAUCUGGAUCGAGGAAGCAGAAGGCAUGGUAUAACUGCUCCUCUUCAAGAGCUUCAUCACCAGCAUUAUCUUCAGGUGUAAGUCCAUAUGUGCUCUCUAAAAU